UCGAACUCAGAAUUCCGCCUACCUCUGCCUC
rnacentral:piRNA from 1 species